UAAGGAAUAUUGGUCAAUGGACGCAAGUCUGAACCAGCCAUGCCGCGUGAAGGAUGAAGGUCCUCUGGAUUGUAAACUUCUUUUAUCUGGGACGAAAAAAGGGUAUUCUUACUCACUUGACGGUACCAGAGGAAUAAGCACCGGCUAACUCCGUGCCAGCAGCCGCGGUAAUACGGAGGGUGCAAGCGUUAUCCGGAUUUACUGGGUUUAAAGGGUGCGUAGGUGGGCACUUAAGUCAGUGGUGAAAUCUUCGAGCUUAACUCGGAAACUGCCAUUGAUACUAUUUGUCUUGAAUUAUCUGGAGGUAAGCGGAAUAUGUCAUGUAGCGGUGAAAUGCUUAGAUAUGACAUAGAACACCGAUUGCGAAGGCAGCUUACUACGGAUAUAUUGACACUGAGGCACGAAAGCGUGGGGAUCAAACA
rnacentral:rRNA from 1 species